rnacentral:lncRNA from 1 species
UUCUAAUAGUUUGCCGUCUGAGAAUGUCACUCCUGGAGAGUCCCUGUUUUCAGUGGCAUUGAGGGGAAAGGGUGUUGUCUCUAAGUCCAUCUCACACAUUGUCUUUUUCUCCUAACUCUUAGAUAUUUGCUCAUUGAAACCCAUAAUGAGGCGACCAGAGAUUAGCAGAUCCUCUGGGGAAAAUACUGGCCCCAGCUCACUGCCUCUGAGACACAAGCUGAAUAUCAAAAAACAAAAGGAUAAGAAAUUAAUGUUACAAACCAUUGGAAUACCAUUGACCAACAGAAGAUCCCCUACACAGCAUUGCAGGAAAAAUAACAGAUCCAUACCUAUAUACAACUGAAGGCAGGUGGCCUGGACCCACAGGA